AAAUGGAAGAAAAAUAGGAGAAGGGGGAGGAGCAAUAAGGAGGAGAGUAAAAUGAACAAAAAAAUAAAAGUGUUUCAUGUGUCUAGGUGUAUUGUACGGUUAUAUGGUAAGGGACGGAAAAAGCAAUACGAUGGGGACACUGGCAUGGAAAGGGGAUCAAAGGAGUGAAAAGGGGGCUAUUAUGGGAAAGUUGACCAUGUAAACAAGGGAAGAAUCUUCCCAAGCAUGACAACAAUCGGG
rnacentral:lncRNA from 1 species